rnacentral:rRNA from 1 species
UUUCAAAUUUUUCAUUAAUUCCUUUACAGUACUGAUUCUCUAUCGUUUAUAAAUAAUUUCAUAAAAAUUACUUUUUAAUUCUUAUAUUUCUAAAAACUUUUUUUAUACAACGAUGUGAAUU